AGUCGAGUCAGAUCCUAAUUGCCAUGUGUUUCCGCUGCCCCAGCGUCCUGUGGCCGUCUCUGAUUCCUCUGCUGUGGCAGUUUGAGAAGCAUUGUUCACACUUAGCUGUUUGUGGUCUGCCAACCAUUGCCCAAACAGAAGAGGAGCAGCACCUGUCAUCUCCCCAGACCCAGUGACUCCAGUAUUUCAAAGAGUUUAUUUUUUAAGGGGAGGUCAUUUUGGUCCCCUUAACACUCAGCAAGAGCCCUUGAUUUGAAGCUGUAGACACUACCUUCAGCGAGAAAGCCCCAUGGCAUCGUCAUGCUGGGAACCAGGAGAGCAAGGGGGCCUGGUUGCCCCAUCCCAGCGUGGCAGGGGAGAGGCUGGGAGCUGUCAGCUCCUGGCACGGCAGCCACGGCCUCGUCGCUAGCAGUGAUUGCCAUGUACUGAUGCUUGGCCCAUCUGAAGUCCUCCAAGAACUCCUUCACUAUUGUCGUCCUUAUUUCACCGAGAAGAUUCGCACCUUGCCCACAGUAGGACGUGAUACCAUGAGAAAACCUGAUUUUCUAGAGGAAAUGCAGAAGGAGGACUGCUGCCUUGAGAUUACCUGCUGGAGACAGAGAAACUGGCUAUUCUGUUACUUCCGGGAGAUCUGAAUUCCAGCGGACUUCCAUAGCAGGUCAAUAACAUCUUGUUUUGUCUUGGCAACAGUUCACGACUCCUCCCUCAAGCUUUGCUAGAGUGUAAGCAAUGACUUGUUUCUGCUAAGGGUUCCUCCACAACUUGGAAGGGAGCUGGCACCUCUUUCCCAGCCACCUUAACCUUUCCUUGGGUAAAACACUCACAUAGGAAUUAAACAUUCAUCACUGGCCACACACACACCAAUCAUGCUGUUUUGCUUUUUUAAAAUUCACUCUUCCCUGGGCUUUUACUUUUUUCUUUUGUUUUGUUUUGUUUUCAGUUGGGAACUGCCCAACCCCACUUUGCUAAGCUGAAACUAACCUUUCCACUCGGCAAAAAGGGCAUCUUUGCCUAAGCAGAUGGUGAUGUGCACUGGUGUGUGCAAUUUAUUUCCAUGUCACUGAGCAUUACAGACUUUGCAGAAGCAGUUUCAAAUAUAUUUUAAAAUAAAAUAUGAUGCAUUGGGUUAUGGUCUGUGUGGAUUAUUUUAAAGGCAGGUGUGCCCCUCUCUUCUUGCUUUAAGAGCUAACGGUAGGUAAGCAACCCAAGUCGUACUUGCAAAGUCAUGAUUCACCAUUUGGGAAGGGAUAGGGGCUAAAAUUUAGCUUCACCAGCAUAACAGCUUCAAUCAACUUCCAGCCAUGUCGCUGACAUCAAUCAGUGAAAUAGAAAGGCAUGGUGACAGAACCUUCUCCUAAGAAAACGUUCGUUACCCAUCACAUCAUAUGAUAUAUUAGAAAAGAAAUUGUCAAAAGCUUCACCAGAUGAAAUCAACAUCUGAGAUUUCUGGGCCUGUCUCUGCCAUUACUCAGACACUUAAUUUCUCUGGACUUUAGUUCUAGCACAUAAAAUACAGGGUUCCAUUUAUAUUAGCACUUCGGAGAAUAAACUUCUCAAAAACUCUUUCUUCAAGAUCCACAGUGAAGAAUUCCAUGAUCAAAUAAGUUCAGAAAGCAUAAACACUGUCACAUUAAGGAGUUCAUGGAUAAUUUUACAAAAGUCCAGCAGCAGAGAAAACAUACAAUGCUGUUUAAUUCUGUGUUUCUAAAUUUUCUUUGACCAUGAAAUAUUUUACCUAUUAAAUGCUGAGAUAUAGCUUGAUGAUAACUUUUACAAUUUUUUUUUUUUUGACAGGCAGAGUGGACAGUGAGAGAGAGAGACAGAGAGAAAGGUCUUCCUUUGCCGUUGGUUCACCCUCCAAUGGCCGCCGCGGCCGGCGCGUUGCGGCCAGCGCACCGCGCUGAUCCGACGGCAGGAGCCAGGAGCCAGGUGCUUUUCCUGGUCUCCCAUGGGGUGCAGGGCCCAAGCACCUGGGCCAUCCUCCACUGCACUCCCUGGCCACAGCAGAGGGCUGGCCUGGAAGAGGGGCAACCGGGACAGAAUCCGGCGCCCCGACCGGGACUAGA